rnacentral:rRNA from 1 species
CUUACACAUGCAAGUCGAGCGGAAACGAUACCAGCUUGCUGGUAGGCGUCGAGCGGCGGACGGGUGAGUAAUACUUAGGAAUCUACCUAGUAGUGGGGGAUAGCUCGGGGAAACUCGAAUUAAUACCGCAUACGACCUACGGGAGAAAGGGGGCAGUUUACUGCUCUCGCUAUUAGAUGAGCCUAAGUCGGAUUAGCUAGAUGGUGGGGUAAAGGCCUACCAUGGCGACGAUCUGUAGCUGGUCUGAGAGGAUGAUCAGCCACACCGGGACUGAGACACGGCCCGGACUCCUACGGGAGGCAGCAGUGGGGAAUAUUGGACAAUGGGGGAAACCCUGAUCCAGCCAUGCCGCGUGUGUGAAGAAGGCCUUUUGGUUGUAAAGCACUUUAAGCAGUGAAGAAGACUCCUCGGUUAAUACCCGUGGACGAUGACAUUAGCUGCAGAAUAAGCACCGGCUAACUCUGUGCCAGCAGCCGCGGUAAUACAGAGGGUGCAAGCGUUAAUCGGAAUUACUGGGCGUAAAGCGAGCGUAGGUGGCUUGAUAAGUCAGAUGUGAAAUCCCCGGGCUUAACCUGGGAACUGCAUCUGAAACUGUUAGGCUAGAGUAGGUGAGAGGAAGGUAGAAUUCCAGGUGUAACGGUGAAAUGCGUAGAGAUCUGGAGGAAUACCGAUGGCGAAGGCAGCCUUCUGGCAUCAUACUGACACUGAGGCUCGAAAGCGUGGGUAGCAAACAGGAUUAGAUACCCUGGUAGUCCACGCCGUAAACGAUGUCUACUAGUCGUUGGGUCCCUUGAGGACUUAGUGACGCGGCUAACGCAAUAAGUAGACCGCCUGGGGAGUACGGCCGCAAGGUUAAAACUCAAUGAAUUGACGGGGGCCCGCACAAGCGGUGGAGCAUGUGGUUUAAUUCGAUGCAACGCGAAGAACCUUACCUGGUCUUGACAUAUCUAGAAUCCCGCAGAGAUGCGGGAGUGCCUUCGGGAAUUAGAAUACAGGUGCUGCAUGGCUGUCGUCAGCUCGUGUCGUGAGAUGUUGGGUUAAGUCCCGCAACGAGCGCAACCCUUGUCCUUAGUUACCAGCGGGUUAAGCCGGGAACUCUAAGGAUACUGCAGUGACAAACUGGAGGAAGGCGGGGACGACGUCAAGUCAUCAUGGCCCUUACGACCAGGGCUACACACGUGCUACAAUGGUAGGUACAGAGGGCAGCUACACAGCGAUGUGAUGCGAAUCUCAAAAAGCCUAUCGUAGUCCAGAUUGGAGUUUGCAACUCGACUCCAUGAAGUAGGAAUCGCUAGUAAUCGCGGAUCAGAAUGCCGCG